GUGGGGAAUUUUGGACAAUGGGGGAAACCCUGACGCAGCGACGCCGUGUGAGGGAAGAAGGCUUUCGGGUCGUAAACCUCUGUCAGGAAGGAAGAACCUCUCAAGGCUGAACAAGCCUUGGGACUGACGGUACUUCCAGAGGAAGCACCGGCUAACUCCGUGCCAGCAGCCGCGGUAAUACGGAGGGUGCAAGCGUUGUUCGGAAUCACUGGGCGUAAAGGGCGCGCAGGCGGCCUGAUCAGUCAGAUGUGAAAGCCCACGGCUUAACUGUGGAAGUGCAUUUGAAACUGUCAGGCUUGAGUACCAGAGGGGAAAGUGGAAUUCCCGGUGUAGAGGUGAAAUUCGUAGAUAUCGGGAGGAAUACCGGUGGCGAAGGCGACUUUCUGGCUGGAUACUGACGCUGAGGCGCGAAAGCGUGGGGAGCAAACAGGAUUAGAAACCCGAGUAGUCC
rnacentral:rRNA from 1 species